AACUUUUAUUUUAUUUAAGAAUAGUAAUUUUCCAAAUUAAAGGUUUAUUAAGUUUA
rnacentral:tRNA from 1 species